rnacentral:rRNA from 1 species
UACGAAGGGUGCAAGCGUUACUCGGAAUUACUGGGCGUAAAGCGUGCGUAGGCGGUUUGUUAAGUCCGCUGUGAAAGCCCUGGGCUCAACCUGGGAAUUGCAGUGGAUACUGGCAAGCUAGAGUGCGGUAGAGGAUGGUGGAAUUCCCGGUGUAGCGGUGAAAUGCGUAGAGAUCGGGAGGAACACCAGUGGCGAAGGCGACUACCUGGCCUGUUCUUGACGCUGAGGCGCGAAAGCUAGGGGAGCGAACCGG